rnacentral:tRNA from 1 species
GGCAUGAUGGCGCAUCGAUAGCGCGCUGGACUCAUAAUCCAGCAGUCCAGAGGGGUACGUGCCA